GACGAACGCUGGCGGCGUGCUUAACACAUGCAAGUCGAACGGAAAGGCCCUGCUUUUGUGGGGUGCUCGAGUGGCGAACGGGUGAGUAACACGUGAGUAACCUGCCCUUGACUUUGGGAUAACUUCAGGAAACUGGGGCUAAUACCUGAUAGGAUCUCCUGCUGCAUGGUGGGGGUUGGAAAGUUUCGGCGGUUGGGGAUGGACUCGCGGCUUAUCAGCUUGUUGGUGGGGUAGUGGCUUACCAAGGCUUUGACGGGUAGCCGGCCUGAGAGGGUGACCGGCAACAUUGGGACUGAGAUACGGACCAGACUCCAACGGGAGGCAGCAGUGGGGAAUAUUGCACAAUGGGCGGAAGCCUGAUGAAGAAACGCCGCGUGCGGGAUGACGGCCUUCGGGUUGUAAACCGAUUUCGCCUGUGACGAAGCGUGAGUGACGGUAAUGGGUAAAGAAGCACCGGCUAACUACGUG
rnacentral:rRNA from 1 species